UUGAGAGAGAGCCAGAGAAACAAAGGGUUGAACAUUGAAGACUAAAAAAUAAGGGAGAAUAUAAGAUAGAAAACUGAGUAAAUAUUUAGGUAGUUAUUUUGAACGUAAAUAUUUAGUUAGUUAGUUAGUUGUACCCUUUUUAUUAUUAUGAUAUAUAUCAAAGUAAUUUAGCUUUUUACUACUAACUUCAUUCCUAUUUAAUUAUUAUGGAAGAGAAGAAACACACAUGUUAAGCAGUGCUAUUAAUUUUGUUGAUUUUUUAAAAAAUAUUAUUUGUUUUUCUAUUUUACCUUCUAGAAUGUGUAUUAUCUUUCCUCCUUUAUGUUUCAUACAAGGACACUAUUAGGAAAAAUAUCUUGAAAUUCUAAGUGGACAUAUAUAUAUAUAUAUAUAUAUAUAUAGGAAAACAAAUUCUUCAUAGUGACCAGAUAAUAAGGAAUGAAGGAACGAAGGUAGUAGCUGUCACGACCCAAAAUCCUAAGCCGUGACCGGCGCACAGACUGACACUCUAGUCUGGCAAGCCUGUUUCUCACAAAAAUCAUUUUCCAAACUAUUAUCUAAAGUUACAUAUGUUUCUCUAUAUUUUAUAAAAAAAAUAAAUAUACAAGAUCUCAUCUGUAACACCAAUAUCUAAAUGACAAAACUUGUCAAAUAAUGAUCUCCAUUUUCAUACUUUUAUUAAAAGGAAAUUUUCAAUUUUAGCACUCAAGUGCAACUUUUACAAUAAAACAAUAAAUAACAAUCUUAAAUCCAAAUCCUUCUAAGACUCCCUAUAGCUGCAGAUAACUAGAAUCAAAUAAAAGACAUCAAUCGAGCCACCAACCAAAGGAGGCCUACCAAUAAGAUAAAUUGAACGAUCUGAAUCUGAUACCAGCUUACUACUUAGUUGCCUGUGAAUCUGUGGAGGGAAAAUAAUGAAUGGGGUAAGUCACAAAGACUUAGUGAGGAUUUAACAACCACCAUGAACAGGAAAGGGGAGACAUAUAAAGCACGAGUUUUUCACUAUCUGUUCAGAGUGGAUAACAAUAUAAUAUUAAUAAAAUUAAUAAGCAUCAAUUCAAAUAAGAGAUGAUCAAAUUGCCAAGUUUAUAAAUAAUUGUUUCAAUGAAACUGAAUAAAAAAUUCAUGUCAGUCAUGUGAAAGCAUUUAAAAAUCAGAAAUAUAAUUUAAUAGGGUCACACAUGUAGAACCGUGAGGCGGCUCCAUCUCGUUGAUAGCCCUCUCCUCCUAAGGGAUGGCCUAUCCGAUAGGGGCGGCUCCAUCUAACGGAUAGCCCUUUCCUCUCUCGUAUCACAUGUCGAAUCGUAUCACCGGGGGAAGCUACAUCUCGUUGAUAGCCCUCUCCGUGCACUGGCGGCUCCAUCUAACGGAUAGCCCUCUCCUCCCGGAAUCAAACUAGCUAGGUGCACCUAGGUCGUUACCUCCGUUAACGGCUACGGGGUUCUAUCAAGGAUCCCCAAAACCGUUUUCUCAAAUCAGUUCAAGUCUCAUCAAAAGUCUUAAAAUCAACUUUCCAAGUUCAUAAUCUCAGUUUCACAUAAUUUCCAAAAUCAAAGCAAUAUAAAUUGUUUUCAUAUCAGUUCAUAAUCAGAUUCCAAAUCAACUUCCUAAAACCAACUUUCAGAUAAUUAAAGAACUGUAAAACAUGUUUCCCCCAAUUUAAAUAAAUAGUGAUAUGAUAAAAUAAUCAAAUCAACAAUUAUAUAAUUAUAAAAAUAAGACACAGUGAUUGGAUAAUCACUCACAGCUAUGACGAAAUAAUUGGACCGUCCUCAACAGUUCCGUGACGCGCAAACGAACCUACGCCCGGCAAAUCUGAGCACCAAGAACAUAUUUAACCCUUCAGCAAUAAUUAACUUAUGUCAUACUACCCGUAAGCAACUACGAAAACCCCAAUUAUUUACCCAAAACCCUAAGUAAUCCUACUUUAAGUCUAGCAUACCAUACUACUAUUUCUAAAAUUUGUGAGUGCGGCAUACCUCAAUGCAAUUAACAGAGAAACCUUGACAGGUGGGCACUCCCUUCC
rnacentral:lncRNA from 1 species